AAAGAAAGAGGGAGGAAGGAAGAAAAAAGGAAAGUCGAAAGAGACCUGCGGGUCUAGGGGAGAACGGGUGCGUAACGCGUGGGAACCGGCCCUUAGGUUCGGAAGAACUCCCCGAAAGGGGUGCUAAGAAGGGAUAAUGUCUUCGGACGAAAGAUUUAUCGCCUGUGGAUGGGCCCGCGUUGGAUUAGCUAGUUGGGAGGGUAAAAGCCUACCAAGGCGACGAUCCAUAGCUGGUCUGAGAGGAUGAUCAGCCACACGGGGCCUGAGACACGGCCCAGACUCCUACGGGAGGACGCAGUGGGGAAUAUUGGAAAAUGGGCGAAAGCCUGCACCAGCAAUGCCUCGUGCCUUCUUCCUGCCUUAGGGUUGUAAAGCUCUUUUUCCCCUCAUUCUAAUGACAGUCCCCGUAGCCUAAUCUCCUUCUCCCUCCGUG
rnacentral:rRNA from 1 species